rnacentral:rRNA from 1 species
CCUACGGGUGGCUGCAGUGGGGAAUAUUGGACAAUGGGGGCAACCCUGAUCCAGCCAUGCCGCGUGUGUGAAGAAGGCCCUCGGGUUGUAAAGCACUUUCAGUGAGGAAGAACGCCUGGUGGUUAAUACCCAUCAGGAAAGACAUCACUCACAGAAGAAGCACCGGCUAACUCCGUGCCAGCAGCCGCGGUAAUACGGAGGGUGCGAGCGUUAAUCGGAAUUACUGGGCGUAAAGCGCGCGUAGGUGGCUUGAUAAGCCGGUUGUGAAAGCCCCGGGCUCAACCUGGGAACGGCAUCCGGAACUGUCAAGCUAGAGUGCAGGAGAGGAAGGUAGAAUUCCCGGUGUAGCGGUGAAAUGCGUAGAGAUCGGGAGGAAUACCAGUGGCGAAGGCGGCCUUCUGGACUGACACUAACACUGAGGUGCGAAAGCGUGGGUAGCAAACAGGAUUAGAUACCCGGGUAGUC